AAGUUUAUAUUCUUCUUUUGACAAUAAAUCAAAAAAAAUGUUAUGUAACUAUUUAAUCUUUUCUAGCAGCAUAAUGAGUUGUCUAACAAAGAGCAGUGGGUAUGGUUAGACAAUAAAUAGAAAUAAAUAUUGGAACUAGAUUAAUACCUAUCGUCAAUACAUCAGAAGCCUAUGCAUCUUGCUGUGUAAGUGCAAAUACUCUUCCUUGAGUCUUUGGCCCCUGGCUUUCUUCCAUUGCCUGAGUAGAUCUAUUCUCGUUUCUUUGUGGGCAGUCUGCAAUUUUAUGACCUAUCUUACCACAUCUAAAACAGGCACCGGUGUUCCAAUGGCAAUCCUUGUCAGCAUGAGCCUUACCACAUCUGGAACA
rnacentral:lncRNA from 1 species